rnacentral:rRNA from 1 species
GUCGACGAUGAAGCCCAGCUUGCUGGGUGGAUUAGUGGCGAACGGGUGAGUAACACGUGAGCAACCUGCCCCUGACUCUGGGAUAAGCGCUGGAAACGGCGUCUAAUACUGGAUACGAACAAGAAUCGCAUGGUUACUUGUUGGAAAGAUUUUUUGGUUGGGGAUGGGCUCGCGGCCUAUCAGCUUGUUGGUGAGGUAAUGGCUCACCAAGGCGUCGACGGGUAGCCGGCCUGAGAGGGUGACCGGCCACACUGGGACUGAGACACGGCCCAGACUCCUACGGGAGGCAGCAGUGGGGAAUAUUGCACAAUGGGCGGAAGCCUGAUGCAGCAACGCCGCGUGAGGGAUGACGGCCUUCGGGUUGUAAACCUCUUUUAGCAGGGAAGAAGCGAGAGUGACGGUACCUGCAGAAAAAGCGCCGGCUAACUACGUGCCAGCAGCCGCGGUAAUACGUAGGGCGCAAGCGUUAUCCGGAAUUAUUGGGCGUAAAGAGCUCGUAGGCGGUUUGUCGCGUCUGCUGUGAAAUCCCGAGGCUCAACCUCGGGCCUGCAGUGGGUACGGGCAGACUAGAGUGCGGUAGGGGAGAUUGGAAUUCCUGGUGUAGCGGUGGAAUGCGCAGAUAUCAGGAGGAACACCGAUGGCGAAGGCAGAUCUCUGGGCCGUAACUGACGCUGAGGAGCGAAAGGGUGGGGAGCAAACAGGCUUAGAUACCCUGGUAGUCCACCCCGUAAACGUUGGGAACUAGUUGUGGGGUCCAUUCCACGGAUUCCGUGACGCAGCUAACGCAUUAAGUUCCCCGCCUGGGGAGUACGGCCGCAAGGCUAAAACUCAAAGGAAUUGACGGGGACCCGCACAAGCGGCGGAGCAUGCGGAUUAAUUCGAUGCAACGCGAAGAACCUUACCAAGGCUUGACAUAUACGAGAACGGGCCAGAAAUGGUCAACUCUUUGGACACUCGUAAACAGGUGGUGCAUGGUUGUCGUCAGCUCGUGUCGUGAGAUGUUGGGUUAAGUCCCGCAACGAGCGCAACCCUCGUUCUAUGUUGCCAGCACGUAAUGGUGGGAACUCAUGGGAUACUGCCGGGGUCAACUCGGAGGAAGGUGGGGAUGACGUCAAAUCAUCAUGCCCCUUAUGUCUUGGGCUUCACGCAUGCUACAAUGGCCGGUACAAUGGGCAGCGAUACCGUGAGGUGGAGCGAAUCCCAAAAAGCCGGUCCCAGUUCGGAUUGAGGUCUGCAACUCGACCUCAUGAAGUCGGAGUCGCUAGUAAUCGCAGAUCAGCAACGCUGCGGUGAAUACGUUCCCGGGUCUUGUACACACCGCCCGUCAAGUCAUGAAAGUCGGUAACACCUGAAGCCGGUGGCCUAACCC